rnacentral:rRNA from 1 species
UACGUAGGUGGCAAGCGUUGUCCGGAUUUAUUGGGUUUAAAGGGUGCGUAGGCGGUCUAUUAAGUCAGCGCUGAAAUAUCCCGGCUUAACCGGGAGGGUGGCAUUGAUACUGAUGGACUUGAGUAAAGUUGAGGUUGGCGGAAUUGACGGUGUAGCGGUGAAAUGCUUAGAUAUCGUCAAGAACACCUAUUGCGAAGGCAGCUAACUAAGCUUAAACUGACGCUGAGGCACGAAAGUGUGGGGAUCAAACAGG